AUUGAACGCUGGCGGCAGGCCUAACACAUGCAAGUCGAGCGGAUGAAGGGAGCUUGCUCCUGGAUUCAGCGGCGGACGGGUGAGUAAUGCCUAGGAAUCUGCCUGGUAGUGGGGGAUAACGUCCGGAAACGGGCGCUAAUACCGCAUACGUCCUGAGGGAGAAAGUGGGGGAUCUUCGAACCUCACGCUAUCAGAUGAGCCUAGGUCGGAUUAGCUAGUUGGUGGGGUAAAGGCCUACCAAGGCGACGAUCCGUAACUGGUCUGAGAGGAUGAUCAGUCACACUGGAACUGAGACACGGUCCAGACUCCUACGGGAGGCAGCAGUGGGGAAUAUUGGACAAUGGGCGAAAGCCUGAUCCAGCCAUGCCGCGUGUGUGAAGAAGGUCUUCGGAUUGUAAAGCACUUUAAGUUGGGAGGAAGGGCAGUAAGUUAAUGCCUUGCUGUUUUGACGUUACCAACAGAAUAAGCACCGGCUAACUUCGUG
rnacentral:rRNA from 1 species